rnacentral:rRNA from 1 species
CACGCCGUAAACGAUGUCGACUUGGAGGUUGUUCCCUUGAGGAGUGGCUUCCGGAGCUAACGCGUUAAGUCGACCGCCUGGGGAGUACGGCCGCAAGGUUAAAACUCAAAUGAAUUGACGGGGGCCCGCACAAGCGGUGGAGCAUGUGGUUUAAUUCGAUGCAACGCGAAGAACCUUACCUACUCUUGACAUCCAGAGAAUUUGCUAGAGAUAGCUUAGUGCCUUCGGGAACUCUGAGACAGGUGC